AGAGAGGAGGGCGGGUUGAAGAGGUUGAGCAAUUACUGGUACCUCAAUCCCACAGGAACCUAGUCUUAAAACUAGCUCACAGCCAUGUAUUAGGGGGGCAUCUUGGGAUUGAAAAAACCAGGGAGAAUGUACUAAGAUUUUACUGGCCAGGAAUCUACUCUGCUAUAGAACGAUUUUGCAAGUCAUGCCCAGAAUGCCAAAGAAAGGCUCCAUUCUAAGCUUUCCGUAAUCCCCUUGUUCCUCUUCCCAUUAUAGAAGUCCCAUUUGAAAGAAUUGCUAUGGACCUGGUUGGUCCUUUACUAAAAUCCGC